GACUAAUCAAGACAACAGGAAACAAAGCAUGAGAUUAAGGCCCUGUCAACACAAACACAGCCACUGGAUGUUGUUCUUGGACUUUUUUCGGAUGAGCUGGACUCCCUCCAAGACGUUAGUGAUGUCAUAGAUGCGUCUCUUCUGGACCUCUAGAACCUCAGUGGCCCAGUUCAGGUCAAGAACUCCAUCAGGAGACUCAGCGAUCAGACCCACAAAUUUCUUGGUCAGCAGGCCCAGGGACGUGUCGUACCGUGUCCGCUCACCUGGAGACUUUGGAGCUGAGAGCAAAGAUCCAGACAAAGGCACAUGAGAGGAGAACAGCACCGAUUUGACAAAGAUUUGUAAAUAUUUAACCGCAAAGUGGUGUACUCACUCCUUGGACUUGGUAUUCUGGCUGCGAUGCUGCCUUUGCCUUUUGGAGUGCGGAACUCUGGCAAGUAAAGAGGGUCCUCUAGAUCCAGCUUCCUUUUAGCCUAGAGAGAAAAGUUUAUGUGCAUUAGGAAAAAAAGAAAAAUAUAAGAGCAAAGAAGGUGUUUCAUAUAGUUGCAGCGCUCACUCUGACCUAACUAUUUCCGAGACUGCUCGCUGCUGGAAACAAUCAUGCAA